UACAGAGGUCUCAAGCGUUGUUCGGAUUCAUUGGGCGUAAAGGGUGCGUAGGCGGCGCGGUAAGUCGGGUGUGAAAUCUCGGAGCUUAACUCCGAAACUGCAUUCGAUACUGCCGUGCUUGAGGACUGGAGAGGAGACUGGAAUUUACGGUGUAGCGGUGAAAUGCGUAGAUAUCAGGAGGAACACCGAUGGCGAAGGCAGCUCGCUGGGACGGUACUGACGCUGAGACGCGAAAGCGUGGGGAGCAAACAGG
rnacentral:rRNA from 1 species